UGGGGAAUAUUAGGCAAUGGGCGAAAGCCUGAUGCAGCAACGCCGCGUGCGGGAAGACAGCCCUAGGGUUGUAAACCGCUUUCAGCAGGGAAGAAACUGACGGUACCUGCAGAAGAAGAUGCGGCCAACUACGUGCCAGCAGCCGCGGUGACACGUAGGCAUCAAGCGUUAUCCGGAUUUAUUGGGCGUAAAGAGCUCGUAGGCGGUUCGGUAAGUCGGGUGUGAAAACUCUGGGCUCAACCCAGAGAGGCCACUCGAUACUGCUGUGACUAGAGUGCGGUAGGGGAGCGGGGAAUUCCUGGUGUAGCGGUGAAAUGCGCAGAUAUCAGGAGGAACACCAGUGGCGAAGGCGCCGCUCUGGGCCGUAACUGACGCUGAGGAGCGAAAGCAUGGGUAGCAAACAGGAUUAGAUACCCUGGUAGUCCAUGCCGUAAACGUUGGGCACUAGGUGUGGGUCUCAAACCAACGAGAUCCGCGCCGUCGCUAACGCAUUAAGUGCCCGCCUGGGAGUACGGUCGCAAGAUU
rnacentral:rRNA from 1 species